rnacentral:rRNA from 1 species
UACGUAGGGGGCAAGCGUUGUCCGGAAUCAUUGGGCGUAAAGCGCGUGUAGGCGGUCCGAUAAGUCGGUUGUGAAAGUCCAGGGCUCAACCCUGGGAUGCCGACCGAUACUGUCGGACUAGAGUUCGGAAGAGGCGAGUGGAAUUCCCGGUGUAGCGGUGAAAUGCGCAGAUAUUGGGAGGAACACCAGUGGCGAAGGCGGCUCACUGGACCGGAACUGACGCUGAGGCGCGAAAGCGUGGGGAGCAAACAGG